GGGACACGUGGUAUCCUGUCUGAAUAUGGGGGGACCAUCCUCCAAGGCUAAAUACUCCUGACUGACCGAUAGUGAACCAGUACCGUGAGGGAAAGGCGAAAAGAACCCCGGCGAGGGGAGUGAAAAAGAACCUGAAACCGUGUACGUACAAGCAGUGGGAGCCUCUUAAUGGGGUGACUGCGUACCUUUUGUAUAAUGGGUCAGCGACUUAUAUUCUGUAGCAAGGUUAACCGAAUAGGGGAGCCGAAGGGAAACCGAGUCUUAACUGGGCGUUAAGUUGCAGGGUAUAGACCCGAAACCCGGUGAUCUAGCCAUGGGCAGGUUGAAGGUUGGGUAACACUAACUGGAGGACCGAACCGACUAAUGUUGAAAAAUUAGCGGAUGACUUGUGGCUGGGGGUGAAAGGCCAAUCAAACCGGGAGAUAGCUGGUUCUCCCCGAAAGCUAUUUAGGUAGCGCCUCGUGAAUUCAUCUCCGGGGGUAGAGCACUGUUUCGGCAAGGGGGUCAUCCCGACUUACCAACCCGAUGCAAACUGCGAAUACCGGAGAAUGUUAUCACGGGAGACACACGGCGGGUGCUAACGUCCGUCGUGAAGAGGGAAACAACCCAGACCGCCAGCUAAGGUCCCAAAGUCAUGGUUAAGUGGGAAACGAUGUGGGAAGGCCCAGACAGCCAGGAUGUUGGCUUAGAAGCAGCCAUCAUUUAAAGAAAGCGUAAUAGCUCACUGGUCGAGUCGGCCUGCGCGGAAGAUGUAACGGGGCUAAACCAUGCACCGAAGCUGCGGCAGCGACACUAUGUGUUGUUGGGUAGGGGAGCGUUCUGUAAGCCUGUGAAGGUGUGCUGUGAGGCAUGCUGGAGGUAUCAGAAGUGCGAAUGCUGACAUAAGUAACGAUAAAGCGGGUGAAAAGCCCGCUCGCCGGAAGACCAAGGGUUCCUGUCCAACGUUAAUCGGGGCAGGGUGAGUCGACCCCUAAGGCGAGGCCGAAAGGCGUAGUCGAUGGGAAACAGGUUAAUAUUCCUGUACUUGGUGUUACUGCGAAGGGGGGACGGAGAAGGCUAUGUUGGCCGGGCGACGGUUGUCCCGGUUUAAGCGUGUAGGCUGGUUUUCCAGGCAAAUCCGGAAAACCAAGGCUGAGGCGUGAUGACGAGGCACUACGGUGCUGAAGCGACAAAUGCCCUGCUUCCAGGAAAAGCCUCUAAGCAUCAGGUAACAUCAAAUCGUACCCCAAACCGACACAGGUGGUCAGGUAGAGAAUACCAAGGCGCUUGAGAGAACUCGGGUGAAGGAACUAGGCAAAAUGGUGCCGUAACUUCGGGAGAAGGCACGCUGAUAUGUAGGUGAAGCGACUUGCUCGUGGAGCUGAAAUCAGUCGAAGAUACCAGCUGGCUGCAACUGUUUAUUAAAAACACAGCACUGUGCAAACACGAAAGUGGACGUAUACGGUGUGACGCCUGCCCGGUGCCGGAAGGUUAAUUGAUGGGGUUAGCGGUAACGCGAAGCUCUUGAUCGAAGCCCCGGUAAACGGCGGCCGUAACUAUAACGGUCCUAAGGUAGCGAAAUUCCUUGUCGGGUAAGUUCCGACCUGCACGAAUGGCGUAAUGAUGGCCAGGCUGUCUCCACCCGAGACUCAGUGAAAUUGAACUCGCUGUGAAGAUGCAGUGUACCCGCGGCAAGACGGAAAGACCC
rnacentral:rRNA from 1 species